rnacentral:rRNA from 1 species
CGACUGGCGGCAGGCCUAACACAUGCAAGUCGCACGAGAAAGGGAGCAAUCCCCGGUACAGUGGCGCACGGGUGAGUAACACGUAGAUGACCUUCCCUGGAGUGGUGGAUAACCUGCCGAAAGGCGGGCUAAUACAGCAUGGGACCACAUGGUUUUGACCGAGUGGUGAAAGCGGGCCUCUGUUCACAAGCUCGCGCUCUGGGAUGGGUCUGCGUCCUAUCAGCUAGUUGGUGAGGUAAUGGCUCACCAAGGCAUCGACGGGUAGCUGGUCUGAGAGGAUGACCAGCCACACUGGGACUGAGACACGGCCCAGACUCCUACGGGAGGCAGCAGUGGGGAAUUUUGGACAAUGGGCGCAAGCCUGAUCCAGCAAUGCCGCGUGCAGGACGAAGGCCUUCGGGUUGUAAACUGCUUUUGUACGGAACGAAAAGCCUUCUUCUAAUACAGGAGGGUCAUGACGGUACCGUAAGAAUAAGCACCGGCUAACUACGUG